AUUGAACGCUGGCGGAAUGCUUUACACAUGCAAGUCGAACGGUAGAGGGGGCAACCCCUCGAGAGUGACGAACGGGUGAGUAAUAUAUCGGAACGUGCCCAGUCGUGGGGGAUAACGUAGCGAAAGUUACGCUAAUACCGCAUACGAUCUAAGGAUGAAAGCGGGGGAUCGCAAGACCUCGCGCGAUUGGAGCGGCCGAUAUCAGAUUAGGUAGUUGGUGGGGUAAAGGCUCACCAAGCCAACGAUCUGUAGCUGGUCUGAGAGGACGACCAGCCACACUGGAACUGAGACACGGUCCAGACUCCUACGGGAGGCAGCAGUGGGGAAUUUUGGACAAUGGACGCAAGUCUGAUCCAGCCACUCCGCGUGCAGGAUGAAGGCCCUCGGGUUGUAAACUGCUUUUGUACGGGACGAAAAGGUCUCUCUUAAUACGGGGGGCUCAUGACGGUACCGUAAGAAUAAGCACCGGCUAACUACGUGCCAGCAGCCGCGGUAA
rnacentral:rRNA from 1 species